CCUACUGCAGGGUUUCUCACAUCUUCUUCUGAAGCAUCUAGUGCUGACCACUGUCGGGGGCAGGAUAUGGAAUGAAAUUGACCAUGAAUCUUUCUGAUCUAGUGUGUCAAUUCUUAAAUAAUCCUUAAAGAAAUACAAUAUAUAUAUAUAGAGAGAGAGAGUCUGUAAAGCAUCUUGUAAUCUGGUCCUUCUUGUUGAAAAGUAUAAAAGCAAGGCAAAUGAAUGAGCUAGAACAAGAUGACAGAAGGAAGAUGAUGAACACAAGUCUAUAUCUGCCAAGAAUGAGCAGCAUCCAUACUUUUGUUCCUGAAAAACACGGAAGAACUCAGACAAAAAAUUACCCCUUCCACAGGUGACAACCGUGUAAACAGUAUUAUCUCCAUCUACCACAUCAUCAGACCAGACCACAUGCACGUAAAAGGAUGUGUUAUCAAAAUAUCUAUAAUGGUGACCUUAAAAAAAGCGAACAAGAAAUGCUAAUGGUUUUCUUGUUAUUUUAGAAAGGGACUUUUUUCUUCUCCGUUAGAACAGAGAGCUUCCUGGAGCAAAAACAAAUGAAGCUGCUGUCUUUAUAUAUUAGUUAAAGAACGAUUUAGCAAAGUUUCUAUCAUUUCUAUUCAGUUUUUCAAUUAAUGAGAAUUAACAAACAGUACUACUACUUAAAACUUUUAGCAUUGUGCAUGUUCAAAGGCUGCAGCAUCAUUAAUAAAGACAAUGUUCAAACACCCCAUUGAAGAAGAUAAGGAUUAUUAGCAUCAUUUUACAGAUGGGGGAAAAUGAGGCAGAGAAGUGACUUGGUCAAGGUCACAUAGUAAGUCAGUGGAAGAGCCACUAUUAGAAUUCAGGAGUUUUAACUCUCUUUUCUGGGCUUGUUCUUUUACAUCUUGUUGCCUCUUGGUGGCAGAAGCUGCUCCUUAUUCUCAGGUGUUCCACUUUCUAGCUCCUUCUGUUCCCUUAUUGCAUUCCAGUGUUUAUUUUUAAUCUUUCAAGAAUGAGUUUGGGACUGGUCAGUGCUUGGAUGGGGCACCUCAAAGGAAAAUUCAGGUGCUGCUGGGAGUCAUAUUGAGGCAUUGUCCCCUGUUAAUCAGUACUGUUGCUAGGUGAUGCUGUGCUACUGAAAAUGCCGUGUCUCAGAGAUGAUAAAAAAAAAUGAAGGCUUGACUAUAUGUGCUCAUUAUAUUUGCCGUGAUUCUUUUCACAGAGAGUGGGUAUGACCUGGCCAAAUUUUAGUUGGGGUGAUUACAUACUACUUGUCAAAAAAAAAUCACCUUCUGAAUUGAAAAGAAGAACUUUUUCUUAAUUCCCCCUGCUAAAAACUAUUUUAUAGUGAGGCUGGUUCACACGGCUGACACAUUCCACACCAGUGAUGGGUGAAUGAUCUUUACAGAUAGUGCUCUGGGAUCCUUCUGGACUAAAUGCUCUAGAUAAAUAGUAUUCUACUAAUCCAGGGGUUCUCAAACUGGGGGUCAGGACCCCUCAGGGGGUCACGAGGUUAUUACAUGGUGGGUCGCGAGCUGUCAGCCUCCACCCCAAACCCGGCUUUGCAUCCAGCAUUUAUAACGGUGUUAGAUAUAUAAAAAAAAGUGUUUUUAAUUUUUAAGGGGGGUCACACUCAGAGGCUUGGUAUGUGAAAGGGGUCACCAGUACAAAAGUUUGAGAACCACUCACUAAUCCAUAUCUUCUUUACUUUCUUACUUUCAUCCCAAGACUGCCACACCCUGUUCUUUUCACCAGAGCAGAUUAUCAAGAGACUGUGGGACUCCCAUCAGAGAUCAGAAUGAAAUCUAGCCUGACCCGUUUCAAAACACAAUGCAAAAUCCAUUUUUUCCAAACAAAGCAGGGGGGGAAAAUCACACUCUAGAUAUUAGCAGCUGAAUCAAAGACUGGGAAAAGCCAAGCUCAUUUGAAGCAAAACUUAAUAUCAUGUCAGGUGGCUACAUCCUGUGUUAUCUUGGUGGGCUCCUAGAUAGACAGCCAAGUAGGGCAGAGAUUGUCCGAUUAUCCUUCUUCAUGUUUCCAUAUUGCAUUAUAACACUUCUUCCUGUGUAACACAUGAACAUAUCUACACAUCACAUCUGGAGUAUUUUCCCUCGGAAACCUUAAAAGAGCUGACAAAACAUUAAUAAACGAGGAUGUUCAUUGCC